CAAACUUUUGCACUGGGGAAGCACUGUGUGAGUACAGUGGAAAAAAGCAAAGAUCUCGAAGAGCCCAUUUGAAAUCACUCAUGAAAAGUUUGGUCAAAUAAAUCUAAUUUCUUUUUUCUUUGCAGUUUUGUGUAUUAUUAAAGAAGCCAAAUACUAUAGACAGGAUAUAUCUUGAUGGAGUAAAUGAUUAGAAGAAGAAUCUAAUGGUAUAUGUUUAGACCUGAGGGAGAAAUAUGAACUUUGUGGAAUUCACAGCUGAUAACCUUUGCAAAAAGUGAUGAAUGACAGAUUAUCACAACCUAAAGGACAACAUAACAUCAUGAGGUUAUGGAGAAAUACUAAAGUUUAUAAAUGGCAGAACAUUUCUUAAAAAAUAAAAUUAAUGCAACAGUAGGCUAUAAACCCCAAAUAAUAUUUGCUCCAACCACAUACUUCAUUGUACUCUAUGUGAGAACAUUAUUUGGAACCCUAAAUUUGGUUGUAGCAUAACUCACAUGUUACAGGGGACUUGGCAAACAAGGAUAUGUUCAGAAAAAGCAUCAAGGUACUGAUAUUUUUUGAAACUACACAAUGUAAAAGCAUUGGUUAAAAGAAUGGACUGUGUUUUGACCUAAAAAUGUAAGUCUCAUUUGGGACACACUGGUAGCUUCUAAUAUCUGAACAUCAGUUAAUUGUAAAAAGGAUUAGGUUUAAGCUAUCACUCCCCGAGUAGAACUAGGACCAAUGUUUGUGAGGAAUGGAAGACAAUCUCUAACAAACAGGAAUAAACUGUUUCUAAAAGAAACAGAAAAGCACUAAAAAUAUUAAGGAUGUACAGUAGAAGGAAAAUUGACUAGUCCCAACUCCUGAUAUCACUGUUCUUUUAACUUUAGGACUUUUAACUUUUAACUUUAGUUUUAACUUUUAACUUUAGUUCCUUAGCUUCUCUGAGUUUCUGUUUCCUCUAUAGGUUAGAUAUCACUGCAUUGAAUACAGGAGUGAAAACACCACAGUUGAAAAUGCCAAGGUCCUGUUAGUUUAGAUGCUUUCUCAAAUUCGUCACCCUUCUCCAUUAGUGCUUCUUCAGUCCCAGAUGGAAUGGAACAUUCUGAAAAAAGUUCAGAGAACGGUAGAUAUUAUUAAAUGGUGAUUGGUUUUCCAUUUCAACGCAUGAAGCAAGAAGUUGCAAUUACUUAGCCUGAAUUGAAUACAUUGAUGGGUGAGUGAGUAGUGGCUUUCAAAUAUGUGGAAAAAAAUGAUGCAACUUUUUUCAUGUGUCUUCUGACAUUAUAACAACCAUCAGAACAACAAGGAUUUCUAUGGGUUAUAAAGAAUUCUGUGAUAGGGAUAGGUAAAUGGAACAACUAGAAAUAAUCUAUCCAGAAGACUGUCGACUUCCCUUAGUUGAGUUUGAACUCCUUUUCAAAUAAAAAAAAAUCAGUUACGAGAAAGGUAUUUUAAACCACUGGAUUUAAAAAUUAAUUUCUUAUAUUUAUUAAUACUUGAGGGAAUCACAUAAAGCCCUAAAGAUUUUCCUUUAGCUUUAUGUAUAUAUGGAGACAGAUUUUCCUGUUUCGUAAAGCGUAUACUCUGAAAAGAGAAUUAGAGCAUGAAAUCUUUCAAACCCUUAAUGACCACCAAACACUAGGGAGACAAUGGAAAUCUCAGCACAGAUCCAUAAUCAUAGCUUUCGAAUCAUGGAGCUCUCUCUAUCUCUGAUAACUCAGAAUUUUACAUUCAAGAAGACAAGUUUCUGAAUUCUGGGGCACAUAGUUUAUGUAGAUGUAAAUGCGGAUUUUGUUUUAGAACACAGAAUACCUUCUACCAUAAAACUGACUUCAGGAGAAACACAUCAUUCUCAAGUUGUAGGUGAAUUUAAAGAUUUUAAAUCUACCUUUCCUAACAGAACAUAGAUAUUAAAAAUAAGCAAGUUUUAGUGGAUAAAAUCAGGAGAGACAAUGAAAAUUAUACCAAAUGCAAAACUAUUAAUCCACUUGUAAAGAAUACUUGAAGCUCUAGCUCCCAAAACCCAAUUGUAAAGGUGACAAUAAAUUUGUUAAAUUAGGAUGUAAAUUAAGCAUAAUUUAAGUCCUCCAAAACUGAAUUAUAUUCUGCAGAACUGUGAGCAAAUGCUACUAUAAUUUUAGUAUUCACUCAGUAUG